rfam:Macrostomum lignano uti_cns_0046930, whole genome shotgun sequence.
UGACCUCGGAUCAGACGUGAUUACCCGCUGAAUUUAAGCAUAUUAUUAAGCGGAGGAAAAGAAACUAACAAGGAUUCCCCUAGUAACGGCGAGUGAACGGGGAAGAGCCCAACACCGAAUCCCUUGGCGCAAGUCAACGGGAAAUGUGGUGUUAAGGUAGCCCUUCGUGUCAGUCUAGGCGUCUCAAGUCCACCUGAUUGUGGCUCAAGCCCAGAGAGGGUGUAAGGCCCGUAGAGACGCUCCGACUGAUUCCUGGGGUUUACCUACGAGUCGGCUUGUUUGGGAAUGCAGGCCAAAGCGGGUGGUAAACUCCAUCCAAGGCUAAAUACUGGCACGAGUCCGAUAGCGGACAAGUACCGUGAGGGAAAGUUGAAAAGAACUUUGAAGAGAGAGUUCAAUAGUACGUGAAACCGCUUAGAGGCAAACGGAUGGUGCUCAUACUGGCCUGAGGAAUUCAACUGUGACGGUGGCUGGACGAGCUGGCGUUCCGAUCUCUCUUUUGGGACGGGCGUCGGUUUGGCUAUCAGCUCCGACAUGGUGCACUUUCCUUGGUGCCUCCGCCACGACCGACGACACUGGCUACCCGCGGCUGGGUAAGGUGACAAACUGCUUCGGCAAUUUGUGUUAUAGACCCCGGCGUCGGACAUGGUUUGGCCAGGACGUCGAGCUUGCGGCGCCCGCUCCUUGUGGGCUCGCAUGUUGGCUAGCUUGGCUGCGCCGAUGCUUGCACUGGACAACCAGUACAGGUGACGGUUGUGGUCUUGUCUCUAGUUGGCCUCUGCGAGUUUGGCGCCUAUAGUCUGUGGUGUACUUGUGGGUAGACUAUCCGACCCGUCUUGAAACACGGACCAAGGAGUCUAACAUGUGCGCGAGUCAUGGGGAUUCUACGAAACCCAAAGGCGCAGUGAAAGUAAAGGCCUGCUUCUCGUAGGCUGAGGUGGGAUCUCGUGCAUCGCGAUUGGCGAGCGCACCACCGGCCCCGUCCUAUCUGUCUCUGUCAGUGGGGCGGCGCAAGAGCGUACACGUUGGGACCCGAAAGAUGGUGAACUAUGCUUGCGCAGCUCGAAGUCAGUGGAAACACUGAUGGAGGAGCGCAGCGUUUCUGACGUGCAAAUCGAUCGUCAAACGUGAGUAUAGGGGCGAAAGACUAAUCGAACCAUCUAGUAGCUGGUUCCCUCCGAAGUUUCCCUCAGGAUAGCUGGCACUCGGAAACAGUUUUAUCCGGUAAAGCGAAUGAUUAGAGGCAUUGGGGUCGAAACGACCUCGACCUAUUCUCAAACUUUAAAUGGGUAAGAUGCUCGUCUCGCUUAAUUGGAGGCGGGCUUCACCUCUCUAUAAACGUGAAUGUGAGUGCCCAGUGGGCCAUUUUUGGUAAAGCAGAACUGGCGCUGUGGGAUGAACCAAACGCGCGGUUAAGGCGCCCAAUGCGGACGCUCAUGAGACACCACAAAAGGUGUUGGUCGAUACUGACAGCAGGACGGUGGCCAUGGAAGUCGGAACCCGCUAAGGAGUGUGUAACAACUCACCUGCCGAAUCAACCAGCCCUGAAAAUGGAUGGCGCGCUGGAGCGUCGGGCCUAUACCGUGCCGUUGGGGCGAAGCAGACAAAUAAUCUGUGUGGAUGUCCCAACGAGUAGGAGGGUCGCCGUGGUGAGCGCAGAAGGUGCGGCCGUGAGGCCGGCUGGAGCCGCCACGGGCGCAGAUCUUGGUGGUAGUAGCAAUUACUCAAGUGAGAACCUUGAGGACUGAAGUGGAGAAGGGUUCCAUGUGAACAGCAGUUGAACAUG